rnacentral:lncRNA from 1 species
GGGAAGGUCUAUAAAUGGCCGCUCUGGGAAUGUCUGUCUUAUGCGGUUGAGAUAAGGACUGAGAUACGCCCUGGUCUCCUGCAGUACCCAAAGGCUUACUAGGGUGGAGAAAAACUCCGCCCUGAUAUAUCUGUGGUCAGACUGCUUCUCUGCUCUUGAACCCUGUUUUCUGUUGUUUAAGAUGUUUAUCAAGACAAUACAUGCGUGAAUGAACAUAGACCCUUAUCAGUGGUUCUGCUUUUGCCCUUUGCUUUGUGAUCUUUGCUGGACACUUAUCAGUAGUUCUGCUUUUGCCCUUUGUCCUGUUCCCUCAGAAGCAUGUGAUCUUUGUUAGACCCUUAGUAGUAGUUCUGCUUUUUACCCUUUGAAGCAUGUGACCUUUGUACCUACUCCCUGUUCUUACACCCCCUCCCCUUUUGAAGCCCUUAAUAAAAACUUGCUCAUCUGAGACUCAGAGGGCAUCACAGUCCUACUAAUGUGUAAUGUGUAAUGUCACCCCCAGCAGCCCAGCUGUAAAAUUCUUCUCUUUGUAGUGUCUCUAUUUCUCAGCUGGCUGACACUUAUGGAAAAUAGAAAGAACCUACAUUGAAAUAUUGGGUGCAGGUUCCACCUAUACUUCUUUCAUGGAUUUACUUAUUUUUUGUUUGUCCCCCUCUGUAUCCUAGAAACUCCUAGAGGGCAGAGGCAUGCCUGCCAUCUUCAUCAUUGCAUUACCAUCACCCAACACUAUCAGGGGACCUGCCCUGAUAAUCAGUCUACAGUUGUAUCCAGCAGCUCCAGAGAGACAGCGACCAGCAAGAAGGGGCCAUGAUGAUGGUGGUGGUUUUUUCAAAACGAAAAGGGGGAUAUGUAGGGAAAAGAAAGAGAGAUCAGACUCUUACAGACUCUUACUGUGUCUACAUAGAAAGGGAAGACAUAAGAGACUCCAUUUGGAAAAAGACCUGUACUUUAAACAAUUGCUUUGCUGAGAUGUUGUUAAUCUGUAGCUUUGCCCCAGCCACUUUGCCCCAACCACUUUGACCCAGUCUGGAGCUCACAAAAACAUGUGUUGUAUGAAAUCAAGGUUUAAGGCAUGUAGGGCUGUGCAGGAUGUGCCUUGUUAACCAAAUGUUUGCAAGCAGUAUACUUGGUAAAAGUCAUCACCAUUCUCUUGUCUCAAUAAACCAGGGGCACAAUGCACUGUGGAAAGCCGCAGGGACCUCUGCCCUUGAAAGCUGGGUAUUAUUCAAAGUUUCCCCCCAUGUGAUAGUCUGAAAUAUGGCCUCGUGGGAUGAGAAAGGCCUGACGGUCCCCUAGCCCGACACCCAUAAAAGGUCUGUGCUGAGGUGGAUUAGUCAAAGAGGAAAGACUCUUGCAUUUGAGAUAGAGGAAGGCCACUGUCUCCUGCCUGCCCCUGGGAACUGAAUGUCUCGGUAUAAAACACGAUUGUACAUUUGUUCAAUUCUGAGAUGGGAGAAAAACCGCCCUAUGGUGGGAGGUGAGACAUGUUUACAGCAAUACUGCCUUGAUAUUCUUUACUCCACUGAGAUGUUUGGGUGGAGAGAAACAUAAAUCUGGCUUACAUGCACGUUCAGUCAUAGUACCUUCCCUUGAACUUCAUUAUGACAUAGAUUCUAUUGCUCACAUGUUUGUUGCUGACCUUCUUAUUAUCACCCUGCCCUCCUACUACAUUCCUUUUUGCUGAAAUAAUAAAGAUAGUAUUCAAUAAAAACUGAGGGAACUCAGAGACCGGUGCCAGUGCAGGUCCUUGGUAUGCUAAGCGCCGGUACCCUGGGCCCACUGUUGUUUCUCUAUACUUUGUUUCUGUGUCUGAUUUCUUUUCUGUCUCUCAUCCCACCCAACAAGAAAUACCCACAGGUGUGGAGGGGCAGGCCACCCCUUCAGUAUGAG